AGCGCCAGACUUCACUCAGCAGGAGAAACUCGCAAGUCGAAGGAGGGAUGAUCCGGGGCGUGGGAGCGUCAGGUCUUUUUAGUCCUCUCCAGCCCCGGGUUUGCGGAAUCCCCUCCUAGUGCGCCUCUGGCUUAGUUUAGCGUCGGCAGCGGCCUCCGGCAGUCUGUACAGUUCCUUUAUGGGAGAAUCCAUGUAAGGAGUUGUCCGUGGGUAGGUAUUCUGAUAGGCAGCAGACCCGAAUUUCCCUCCUGAAAACCUCGGCUACUCUCUCCUCUCUGAGACCAUUCCUUUCUGGAGAAAAACCUAAGGGUCUGCAAAGAGAGAAAAAGCUACUUAGUCACCUAGCGUCUCCCCGACUGCCUUAGCGGCCUGAGGAACCUCUUACAUCUUGGCCGUUUUGUCGCCUUGAGCCCUCUCUUCAUACUUUGAAACCUCAAUCAGACUCUUGGAAUUGAGAGAGAACUCUUGCAGGGAUUGGAGGUGCUGAGGAUACAACAGUGAACUAAAUGGACAAAAAUUUCCAGCACGGGACUUUUAUCCUGGUGUGUGUGUGUGUGUGUGUGUGUGUGUGUAACAGAGACAUACAUUAGUACAUUAGUGACCUAAAAGGAGCAGUUUAAGUAGAAUGGUAGAAUGGUUUGGGUGAAAGCCUAAAUGGAGUGGAUUUAAGAGAAAAUGAAAGAGUAAUUGAGUUCCCCUCGUGGCUCAAGAGGUAACUAUCCUGACUAGUAUCCACGAGAAGGCUGGUUCGAUCCCUAGCCUCACUUGGUGGGUUAAGGAUCUGUGUUGCAGUGAGCUAUGGUGUAGGUCACAGAGGUGGCUUGGAUCCUGCCAGGAACUGAAGGCAGCCAGAGUAUGUAUACAACUCUUACUAGGGGAGCAGAGCAAAAAGGAGUGGUAAUACAAGAGGGAAGAGGGUGGGAUUUUCUUUUCUUUCUUUUUUUUUUUCUCAUUUUUUGCUUUUUAUGUCCGCACUGGGGCAGCAUACGUAGUUUCCCAGGCUAGAGGUCUAAUCGGAGCUACAGCUGCUGGCCUACACCACAGCCACAGCAACACCAGAUCCGAGCCUCAUCUGUGAUCUACACCACAGCUCAUGGCAAUGUGAGUUACUUAACCCACUGAGGGAGGCCAGCGAUCGAACCUGCAACCUCAUGGUUUCUAGUCGGAUCUGUUUCCACUGUGCCACAACAGGAACCUCUCUCUCUUUUUUUCUAAUGGGAAGUUUUUGUUUGCUCAUGGCAGUGACCAAGUGGAGAGGAAAAAAUUGAUGAUAUAGGACAGAGAGGGGAGAAUUGUUGGAGAAUGGCAGGAACCAACUGGCUGGGCUGUUGUUGAAAGAGUGGAGGCUGAAUGUCUAGAAAGGGUCUGAGUGACACAGGAUUGACAGAGCCUGGGCUGCCAAAUGCACUGAUGGUUUGCAAAUGAUGUCAGGCGCCAGCUUUCAGGCUGCCUGCUCUGUUAGUAGAAGAAACAACUGUUUUGGAACAAGAUAUUCCGGAUGUUCUUCUGGCAUAUGGGUGUCCACAAAACAAGAUUUUACUAAAUACAGGACAGCCAAUGAUGAGAAAAAUAUGAAUCUUCUUUCAUGGACAGUUAGGUGAAAUGUAUUUCUUUCUUUUUUAGGGCAACACCCAGGCAUAUGGAAGUUCCCAGGCUAGGAGUCAAAUCGGAGCUGCAUCUUCAACCUAUGCCGCAGCUCACAUGCAACACUGGAUCCUUAACCCGCUGAGCAAGACCAGGGAUCGAACCCUGCAUGCUCAUGGAUAGUAGUCAGAUUCUUAACCCAAUGAGCCACAACAGGAACUACCAUUAAAUGCCAUUUCAUCUGCAGUUAAAGUGAAAGGGAAUUUCACAUUAAACAGUAGUUGAAGAGAUUAAUUACAUAAAUGCAAAAUCACCCAAAAAAGACACCAAGUACAACACUGCUGGCAACAGAUAACACUAGAAGAAUCUCAGGGAUGACACAAAAACUUAAGGGAAAUGAGUCAGAGUGCUUUGUUAAUUCACUUCUUUCCCAGGGAUUUUCCCUCAGAGGAGAUUGUGGGGGAAUUUUGUAUUUUAUGAGAUUAGGAGAGGCUAAUGAAAUGAAACAGAGUGACUGGGUCCAUAGCUCAGCUUGCCAGGUGUAGGCCAGCAGCUGCAGCUACAAUUUGACCCCUAGCCUAGGAACUUCCCUAUACCGCAGCUGUGGCCUUUUUAAAAAAGGAAAAAAAUAAUGUAAAAUGAAAUAAAUUCUCCAAGUGUCAGUUUCCUCAUCUGUAAAAUGAAGAUGAUAAUAAACAUAUCUAUAUAAUAUAUGUUCAUUUGGAUCUAGGGUUUAGGAUAGUGUAAGCUUUUAGUAAAUGUUCCCAUCAUUUUUUUUUUUUUAAAUGGUCACUCCCAUGGCCUUUGGAAGUUCCCUGGUCAGGGAUUGAAUCCCAGCUGACCUAUGCUGCGGCUGGGGCAACACCAGAUCCUUUAACACACUGCCUGGUGGGGAUCGAACCCACACUUCUGUAGCGACCUGAGCCUCUGCAGUUGGAUUCUUAAUCCACUGUGCCACAGCGGGAACUCCUUUUAUUUUUAAAAUUGAUAUAUUUUUUAAUUUAAUUGAUUUUUAUUUAUUAUGUAUUUUUAUUUUAUUUUAUCUUAUUUUAUUUUAGGGAUGCACCUGUGGCAUAUGGAAGUUCCCAGACUAGGGGUCGAAUCAGAGCUGUAGCUGCUAGCCUACACCACAGCCAUAGAAACACAGGAUCUGAGCUGCGGCUGUGACCUACACCACAGCUCACGGCAAUUCCAGGUCCUUAACCCACUGAGUGAGGCCAGGGAUUGAACCUGCAUCCUCACGGACACUAGUCGGGUUGGUUAACUGCUUAGCCAUGACAGGAACUCCCAUCAUUUAAUUUUAUGAUGCUUUCUAUCUUCCAUCUAAAAAGCAAAAACUAAAACUUUCCUGACCCCAAGUCCUCUUCCAAUAGAUGUCACCUAUCUUUCUCACUAAAAUGUGCAGUGAAGAUGGUGGAGAGAAGCAGAUGGAUUCCAGAGAUUUAAGGAGAUAGAAUUUGAAGGAGAUGCCACUUAAAAUCCUCCAAUGGCUUCCUAUGACAAUUAGAUCAAUCUUGGAGUUCCCCUGGUGGCUCAGUGGGUUAAGGAUCUGGCAUUGUUACUGCUGUGGCUCUGGUUACUGCUGGGGCUUGGGUUUGAUCCCUGACCCAGAAAUUUCCACAUGUCUGGGUG
rnacentral:lncRNA from 1 species